UAAACGACUCUCGGCAACGGAUAUCUCGGCUCUCGCAUCGAUGAAGAACGUAGCGAAAUGCGAUACUUGGUGUGAAUUGCAGAAUCCCGCGAACCAUCGAGUCUUUGAACGCAAGUUGCGCCCGAAGCCAUUAGGUUGAGGGCACGUCUGCCUGGGCGUCUCGC
rnacentral:rRNA from 17 species